rnacentral:rRNA from 1 species
UCGCAUUCGCCGCAGGGGACUUCUUCCUUUUCGGCGGCGCAGGGUUCCUGCGCCUUCUUUUCUUCCUGUUCCGUCAUGACAAAAUUCCCGAUUUAAAGGGGUAAUACGUGUGAUGCCUUCUAUAUGGGGAUGAUUCCCUCUUUUUUCAAGCCUUGCGCCCGAGGGCCUCAAGCGUGAGACGGGCGUAAAGCGCCACGGCGUCGUCACAGGCGUUCAGGGCCGGGAUGUAUUCGAAGCGCCCCUCCCCGACGGACUCCUCGUAAGCGCGGCGCGCUUCGUCGUUGAUCUCCUCGAUUGUCUCGAGGCAGUCCGAAGCGAAGCCCGGACACACGACGUCGACCCGCGGCCCAGUACGCGAAAACCGACAGAAGCCCAGUGGACACCUGAGUAACCCAGGACACGAGAAAUCCGGGGCGAAUCAGCGGGGCCCAUCCCGUAAGGCUAAAUACUCCCGAGAGACCGAUAGCGAACCAGUACUGUGAAGGAAAGGUGAAAAGCACCUCGAACAGAGGAGUGAAAUAGUCCCUGAAACCGUCUGCCUACAAGCGGUCGGAGCAACGUAAGUUGUGACGGCGUGCCUUUUGCAUAAUGAACCUACGAGUUACUUUCUCCGGCAAGGUUAAGGGCUUCAGGCCCGGAGCCGAAGCGAAAGCGAGUCUUAAUAGGGCGUGAUAGUCGGAGUGAGUAGACGCGAAACCAAGUGAUCUACCCUUGGUCAGGAUGAAGGUUGGGUAACACCAACUGGAGGUCCGAAUGGGUAUACGUUGAAAAGUGUUCCAAUGAACUGAGGGUAGGGGUGAAAGGCUAAUCAAACUUGGAGAUAGCUCGUACUCCCCGAAAUGCAUUUAGGUGCAGCCUUUAUUUAGUAUAGCAUGAGGUAGAGCGACUGAUUGGAUGCGAGGGCUUCACCGCCUAUCAAGUCCAGAUAAACUCCGAAUGCGUGCUAUAUAUUGAUAAGGAGUGAGGGCGCGGGUGCUAAGGUCCGCGUCCGAGAGGAGAAGAAUCCAGACCAUCAGCUAAGGUCCCCAAAUAACAGUUAAGUUGAACUAACGAAGUCGGACUGCAGAGACAGCUAGGAUGUUGGCUUGGAAGCAGCCAUUCAUUUAAAGAGUGCGUAACAGCUCACUAGUCGAGGAGUCCGGCGUGGAUAAUACUCGGGCAUAAACUGUUUACCGAAGCUAUGGAUGUAGAAAUACAUGGUAGGGGAGCAUUCCAACGGCGUUGAAGGUGAAGGAUGACCUUUGCUGGAGCUUUUGGAAACGCAAAUGUAGGUAUAAGUAACGAUAAAGGAGGUGAGAAACCUCCUCGCCGAAAGACUAAGGUUUCCUGAUCAACGUUAAUCGGAUCAGGGUAAGUCGGGACCUAAGGUUAAGCCGAACGGCGAUACCGAUGGAAGAAUGGUUUAAUAUUCCCAUACUACUUUAUGGAGCGAUGUGGAGACGGAGAAGUGAAAGUCCUGCCAUCUGACGGAAUAGGUGGUUGAAGAGUGUAGAUGUAGAUUCCUGUAGGCAAAUCCGCAGGGAGAGUCGACCUUGACAGUAUGCCGCGUGCUUGCACAAGGCAAAAUGGACGUAAUCAGGCUCCCAAGAAAAUCCGCUAAGCAUAUUCAUAAAGUACCCGUACCGUAAACGGACACACGUAGUUGGGUUGAAAAUACUGAGGCGCUCGAGUGAUUCACGGUUAAGGAACUAGGCAAAUUGACCCUGUAACUUCGGGAUAAAGGGUCCCUACUGAGAGGUAGGGCGCAGAGAAUAGGUCCAGGCAACUGUUUAACAAAAACACAUGGCUGUGCGAAAUAGAAAUAUGAAGUAUACAGCCUGACACCUGCCCGGUGCUGGAAGGUUAAGAGGAGAGCUCAUCGCAAGAGAAGGCUUGAAUUGAAGCCCCAGUAAACGGCGGCCGUAACUAUAACGGUCCUAAGGUAGCGAAAUUCCUUGUCGGGU